rnacentral:rRNA from 1 species
AUUAGAUACCCUGGUAGUCCACACGGUAAACGAUGAAUACUCGCUGUCUGUGAUAUACUGCAAGCGGCCAAGCGAAAGCGUUAAGUAUUCCACCUGGGGAGUACGCCGGCAACGGUGAAACUCAAAGGAAUUGACGGGGGCCCGCACAAGCGGAGGAACAUGUGGUUUAAUUCGAUGAUACGCGAGGAGCCUUACCCGGGCUUAAAUUGCAGAUGAAUUACGGUGAAAGCCGUAAGCCGCAAGGCAUCUGUGAAGGUGCUGCAUGGUUGUCGUCAGCUCGUGCCGUGAGGUGUCGGCUUAAGUGCCAUAACGAGCGCAACCCUUGUUGUCAGUUACUAACAGGUUCCGCUGAGGACUCUGACAAGACUGCCAUCGUAAGAUGUGAGGAAGGUGGGGAUGACGUCAAAUCAGCACGGCCCUUACGUCCGGGGCGACACACGUGUUACAAUGGCAGGCACAGAGAGAAGCGACAUGGCGACAUGAAGCGGAACUGUCAAAACCUGUCUCAGUUCGGAUUGGAGUCUGCAACCCGACUCCAUGAAGCUGGAUUCGCUAGUAAUCGCGCAUCAGCCACGGCGCGGUGAAUACGUUCCCGGGCCUUGUACACACCGCCCGUCAAGCCAUGGAAGCCGGGAGUGCCUGAAGUGUGCAACCGCAAGGAGCGCCCUAAGGUAAAACCGGUGACUGGGGCUAAGUCGUAACAAGGUACC